AUUGAACGCUAGCGGGAUGCCUUACACAUGCAAGUCGAACGGAGUGGCGAACGGGUGAGUAAUGUAUAGGAAUGUGCCCAGUAGCGGGGGAUAACGACGCGAAAGCGUAGCUAAUACCGCAUACUAUUGGAGCGGCCGAGAUCGGAUUAGCUAGUUGGUGGGGUAACGGCACACCAAGGCGACGAUCCGUAUCUGGUUUGAGAGGACGACCAGCCACACUUGAACUGAUACACGGCCCAGACUCCUACGUGAGGCAGCAGUGGGGAAUAUUGGACAAUGGGGGAAACCCUGAUCCAGCCAUCCCGCGUGUGCGAUGAAGGUCUUCGGGUUGUAAAGCACUUUUGGCAGGAACGCGUUACCUGCAGAAUAAGCACCGGCUAACUACGUGCCAGCAGCCGCGGUAAUAC
rnacentral:rRNA from 1 species